rnacentral:rRNA from 1 species
UACGUAGGGCGCAAGCGUUAUCCGGAAUUAUUGGGCGUAAAGAGCUCGUAGGCGGUUUGUCGCGUCUGCCGUGAAAGUCCGGGGCUCAACUCCGGAUCUGCGGUGGGUACGGGCAGACUAGAGUGAUGUAGGGGAGACUGGAAUUCCUGGUGUAGCGGUGAAAUGCGCAGAUAUCAGGAGGAACACCGAUGGCGAAGGCAGGUCGCUGGGCAUUAACUGACGCUGAGGAGCGAAAGCAUGGGGAGCGAACAGG